rnacentral:rRNA from 1 species
GUGAGGAAUAUUGGUCAAUGGACGGAAGUCUGAACCAGCCAUGCCGCGUGCAGGAAUAAGGUCCUAUGGAUUGUAAACUGCUUUUAUUCGGGAAUAAACCUCUUUACGUGUAGGGAGCUGAAGGUACCGAAGGAAUAAGCACCGGCUAACUCCGUGCCAGCAGCCACGGUAAUACGGAGGGUGCAAGCGUUAUCCGGAAUCAUUGGGUUUAAAGGGUCCGCAGGCGGGCUAUCAAGUCAGAGGUGAAAUCCCACAGCUUAACUGUGGAACUGCCUUUGAAACUGAUGGUCUUGAAUUAAGUGGGCGUUGGCGGAAUAUGACAUGUAGCGGUGAAAUGCAUAGAUAUGUCAUGGAACACCGAAAGCGAAGGCAGCUAACGAUACUUAUAUUGACGCUCAUGGACGAAAGCGUGGGUAGCGAACAGGAUUAGAAACCCUUGUAGUCC